rnacentral:rRNA from 1 species
GUGCCAGCCGCCGCGGUAAUACCGGCAGCUCGAGUGAUGUCCAAUAUUAUUGGGCCUAAAGCGUCCGUAGCUGGCCGCGCAAGUCCGUCGGGAAAUCCACCUGCCCAACAGGUGGGCGUCCGGCGGAAACUGUGUGGCUUGGAACCGGAAGGCUCAGAGGGUACGUCCGGGGUAGGAGUGAAAUCCCGUAAUCCCGGACGGACUACCGAUGGCGAAAGCACGUCGGGAAGAUGGAUCCGACGGUGAGGGACGAAAGCCAGGGUCUCCAACCGGAUUAGAUACCCGGUAGUCC